UGAUCUGUCACUAAAGGCUUAUCAAGAAAAUGGACUGUUGUAAAUCGGUACAGAAUUUGCCGAACCGUGUACAUAAAUAUGAUAUGGCACGGAAAGGCUACUCUGUUAAGAAAGGUCUUAAUUAUGCCCCAAAAGAAGGAAGCCUGCCACCGAUUUAAGAAAAGAAAAUCUUCAAAGUUACGCUCUCGAUCCUACGGAUGCUCUUACGUAAUCCUCAUGUGGUUAAGUAUGUCUUUCAAUAUCAUUUGAAUCUACAAUUCCUUAUUAUGAUGAAAAGUUAGGGUUUAUGUGUUCUUUUAGCGAUUAAUUGAGUAUAUAGUUUCAAAUUUACGCUUAUUUUGCAAUGAUUUAUGCUUCAAUUUGUUUAAUUACCGAUUUUUUGUUUGUAUAUUCGUGAUUAAAUCGAAGAGGUCAGAUUUAGGGUUUUGAUGAGUAUAUUAGUUCGUUUUGCCAGAUUUAUGCUUCUAUUUCGUGAUUAUUUAUGCUUCAGUUUGUCUGUAUAAUGAUUAUUUGUUUGUAUUUUUGUAAUCAAAUAGAAGAGGUCCAUUUCACGUUUUUGUUUGAGGUGAAGAGGUCAGAUUUAUGCUUCAGUUUGACUAUAUACUGGUGCUGAAACUUUGGUGGUGACGUCUCAAGUUUCAGGAGCCGAGCGCUACCAAUUUUGGAGCGGAAAAAUCCGUUGUGUUCGUCGUCAUUGACCAAUCAUUGGCUCCCUGUUUCUCACAUAAAAAAGCUCCACCAAAAUCUCCCAAACGUCGUAAUUAUCCCCAAUCGCGGCAUCAUUGUUGAGUUGAAUACGUUAACAACCGAUGGGUUGGUCGGUCACAGGGUUUCACUCCGGCUAUGGCGAUGAUGCAGAGUUACAGAGGCUGCACUGGUGAAGAUCAGGUUUGCGACGACGUUUGUGGUGGUCAGAUGUGCUCCUGUGGUGAUUUAAGAUGAGACAACUUUGAGCAGAGUUUCGCGCUGUUUCCAGAAAAGAUGGGUAUUUGGAUCACAAGAACAAGGAACCGCGACACGAUAUGCCGGUAAUGGCGACAAAGAGGUGUCAAUGGUUUGGUUCUUGGGCGUUUAAUGGUUGUAGACGGCUGCAAGAGCCGAGCUAUCAGUGAUUGGCAAUUGAAGACGACGGUUGAUGUGCAUCUCCGACGAAUGGGAGUGAUGGGCCGAAUAUAUUCCAAGAUACACCAAACACCACCUCCUUUAAUCACUGCUGCUCGGCAGCCGGAGAGCGCCUCCGGCGCCGGCAAUCAUCACCGCCGCCUGUACUCAUUGCCACGGCCUCGACAACUUAUUGAUGGAUUAGGACGGAAGACAAGUAAGUUAUUCUCUGUUACAAU